rnacentral:lncRNA from 1 species
AUGCUUUAAUUGUGGGAAAGAUGAACACAACCAGUUAGAAAGCUACCAAAAUGAAAAAGGAAAAGAAAAAAGUAGAAAAGGAGAUGGCUAGUGAAGUUCUCUAGUUAUUAAUUUGGAGUACCCUUGGAGACUAAAAUACACAAGGAAAGGUUGUUUCUUUUCUUUUUCUUUUUUCCUCUAAUUUUCUAAUAUAUGCAUGCCAAUCUACUUGAACCGUAAUUUCCUUUUUUUUUUUAAAUUUUCAUAUGGCAAUUUUGGCUAAAUUGACUUCAUUUCUGAUUGUUAUCAGGCUUGGCUUUUCUCUUUAUCUUCAUCAAUGCUACCAUGGGUUCCUUCUUCUAGAUCUUCUAGUUCAUCCUCUUCCUCCUCCUCCUCCUCAAAUCCCUCCUCUUCCAAGAUUUCAUCUUCUGGCUGCACAAAGUGCAGCUUCAAGCGCCCAU